rnacentral:tRNA from 1 species
GGGGCCAUAGCUCAGCUGGGAGAGCGCCUGCCUUGCAAGCAGGAGGUCAGCGGCGGCCUGAUCCCGCUUGGCUCCACCA